AGUAUUUAAAUACAACCAAAAUUGUCUUUCAUAAGUUUAAACUGAAUUUGUUUACUUGACCAUGCCAUUCUCAAUCGCCAUCUUUACUGAACUUCGAACGCGGAAAAGGACUGGGUAAAAACAUUAAUAUGCGCAAUUUAUGCAAUGACGUAUUCUUUGGGUUACCCCCGUGUAGAGACUGGCGCGUGCAGAAAGAGAAAUAAAGAAAAAAAAGUUAAUGAUAUUCCCAACAGAAUUUUUUUACGUUUAUCAAUCAUGUUCACAAGCAGAAAUUAAAACAUAAUUGGAUUUCAGUUUGAGCUAGAACGGCCCAAUAACAAACAACAAAUUCCCUCUUAUAAUGACGAUGGCCCAGACGCACCAGAAUUACCCGCUGCUUCUCGCACAGAUUUAUAUAUCAGUGAGUGGUGCUUAUGUGAAAAUUGCGAGAGGAUGCCUUCAGCUGUUGAGUGUUUGUGCUGUAACGAGGUGGACACUAUCAAAUACUUACAACUACGAUAAGAAAUGUAUAACAGAGCAUACUAAACAGAGCACGAAGAUGUCAACGCGGUUGUGAUUUUAAAGAACACUUUGUGGACAGCGUUAGUCGCUCUCCACGAUCGGGAAAGCCGUGGACUUAAAAAAUCCCUAGCACUCUUGAAAUUUCUGUUGUCAUAGUAUUUCCAAUCUUAUUAUUUGAGGAUGAUAUUUUUAGAUCUUAUCGAUAUGCGGCAUACCGCCAAUUCUGUUGGUUUGUUCAUAACCACUUGGGAAAAGGCGUUCGUCGGGUUAUACCAUCUUGUUUCGUGUCUAAGAUACGUAGAGAAUAUCCAAGUACGAAUGGGAUGUAUACUGGCUUCAAAGAAGGUGAAGAAAUAUCUCAAAUUGAUUUUUCUCGGACAAAUGAAGUUGACGAUGAGAAUAUUUGAUUGUAAAUUAAAAACAACAGUCUUUUGCAGGAGAGGCGUUCGAUCGCACGCGCACGUCGUGGCACACGCGUAAAUCGUUUCAGGCGUGCGAUUAAUUGAACGCCUGAAAAAUUAAUAAUGAGUUUUAGAAAUCAAUCCUAUAAAAUCCCAUUUUACAGCGUGCGAUGGCAGCCUUCGAAAUAAUUUUUGGAGUCUCGUCAGACUUUCGUCGGACAAAACGUUGAUAGAUUUCCGUCUUCGCCGAACACUUUUAGAUCUCAGAAUUAUCGAAUAGUCCUGGUCAUUUUCAUCCACGAGCAAGCCUAUUCAUAGCCAACCUGACCAUCCUAGCUAAUUCACCAACUCCUGACUUAGCUAAAAGAACUACGUAGACAUGAAUGUCUUUUGCCUGGCCCCUUCGUCGUUGGUAACCAGGUCUUACACAAGAAAUCCAGCCAUGCGGUUCUUAACUUAUGCGGAGGUGAACACCGACGGAGCACGGAUGAAUCAAGUCUGCAAAACUGCACUUACGGGCGGAACAGACAUUUUAUCAUGGAUUUAAGUGUAGAUAAUUUCUUCAUUUGACAAAACAAUUGGAAACCAUAGCUGGUCCGAA